CUUGUGUUGUGCGUGUUCAACAAACUUGACGUUGAUUAUCAUUUCAUUGCAGCGUGGAUUCACACCACUACAUUGGUGUCUACGGAAUGAGAAGCUGACGCACGAGCAACACAAGGAACUCGCAAUUAUCAAUAUCACCUUUGGCGCAUCGGUGACAAUAAAAGAUUAUAAUGGAAAGACGCCUCUUGAUUUGUAUGAUAUAAACGAAUGUAAAGGAUACGAAGAAACCACGAGAAGUGAAAAGAAACAAGAUUUAAAAGAAUUACUUGAAAGUACGUUGAUUGACAUAUUAAAUAUCUGUGGAAUCAAAUCUUCAAACUCUAUUUAAAACAGUACUUAUCAUACACCCGUAUUACGUUUGACAUUAAUUUUUUUAAUUUGAAAUUCUACACAAUUAAUUUAUUAUUUCCACAUUUUGAUUAUCGUAAAAAGGUUUAUUUCCUCGUAAAUAAUCAAAAAUAUAAU